AGUGAACGCUGGCGGUAGGCCUAACACAUGCAAGUCGAACGGCAGCACAGUAAGAGCUUGCUCUUACGGGUGGCGAGUGGCGGACGGGUGAGGAAUACAUCGGAAUCUACUUUUUCGUGGGGGAUAACGUAGGGAAACUUACGCUAAUACCGCAUACGACCUACGGGUGAAAGCAGGGGAUCUUCGGACCUUGCGCGAUUGAAUGAGCCGAUGUCGGAUUAGCUAGUUGGCGGGGUAAAGGCCCACCAAGGCGACGAUCCGUAGCUGGUCUGAGAGGAUGAUCAGCCACAAUGGAACUGAGACACGGUCCAGACUCCUACGGGAGGCAGAAGUGGGGAAUAUUGGACAAUGGGCGCAAGCCUGAUCCAGCCAUACCGCGUGGGUGAAGAAGGCCUUCGGGUGGUAAAGCCCUUUUGUUGGGAAAGAAAAGCAGCAGGUUAAUACCCCGCUGUUCUGACGGUACCCAAAGAAUAAGCACCGGCUAACUUCG
rnacentral:rRNA from 1 species